rnacentral:hammerhead_ribozyme from 1 species
AUCCAACUGACGAGUCCCUAAUAGGAGAAAAUGCGCAUCAUGGAU